UACGGGGGGGGCAAGCGUUGUUCGGAAUUACUGGGCGUAAAGGGCUCGUAGGCGGCCAACUAAGUCAGACGUGAAAUCCCUCGGCUUAACCGGGGAACUGCAUCUGAUACUGGAUGGCUUGAGAUUGGGAGAGGGAUGCGGAAUUCCAGGUGUAGCGGUGAAAUGCGUAGAUAUCAGGAGGAACACCGGCGGUGUAGACGGCUUACUGGACCAUUACUGACGCUGAGGCACGAAAGUGUGGGGAGCAAACAGG
rnacentral:rRNA from 1 species